rnacentral:rRNA from 1 species
AUUGAACGCUGGCGGCAGGCUUAACACAUGCAAGUCGAGCGGAGUGAUGGUGCUUGCACUAUCACUUAGCGGCGGACGGGUGAGUAAUGCUUAGGAAUCUGCCUAUUAGUGGGGGACAACAUCUCGAAAGGGAUGCUAAUACCGCAUACGUCCUACGGGAGAAAGCAGGGGAUCACUUGUGACCUUGCGCUAAUAGAUGAGCCUAAGUCGGAUUAGCUAGUUGGUGGGGUAAAGGCCUACCAAGGCGACGAUCUGUAGCGGGUCUGAGAGGAUGAUCCGCCACACUGGGACUGAGACACGGCCCAGACUCCUACGGGAGGCAGCAGUGGGGAAUAUUGGACAAUGGGGGGAACCCUGAUCCAGCCAUGCCGCGUGUGUGAAGAAGGCCUUAUGGUUGUAAAGCACUUUAAGCGAGGAGGAGGCUUACCUAGUUAAUACCUGGGAUAAGUGGACGUUACUCGCAGAAUAAGCACCGGCUAACUCUGUGCCAGCCGCCGCCGUAA